rnacentral:rRNA from 1 species
CCUACGGGUGGCAGCAGUGGGGAAUUUUGGACAAUGGGGGCAACCCUGAUCCAGCCAUGCCGCGUGCGGGAAGAAGGCCUUCGGGUUGUAAACCGCUUUUGUCAGGAGAGAAAUCUCUUGGGCUAAUACCCUGAGAGGAUGACGGUACCUGAAGAAUAAGCACCGGCUAACUACGUGCCAGCAGCCGCGGUAAUACGUAGGGUGCAAGCGUUAAUUGGAAUUUGUGGGGGCGAUUGUGGCAGAGAGGUGUGAAAUCCCCGGGCUUAACCUGGGAACUGCACUUGUGACUGCACGGCUAGAGUACGGCAGAGGGGGAUGGAAUUCCGCGUGUAGCAGUGAAAUGCGUAGAUAUGCGGAGGAACACCGGUGGCGAAGGCAGUCCCCUGGGCCUGUACUGACGCUCAUGCACGAAAGCGUGGGGAGCAAACAGGAUUAGAUACCCCAGUAGUC